rnacentral:rRNA from 1 species
GAAAGUGGGGGACCGCAAGGCCUCAUGCUAUAGGAGCGGCCGAUGUCUGAUUAGCUAGUUGGUGAGGUAAAGGCUCACCAAGGCGACGAUCAGUAGCUGGUCUGAGAGGACGAUCAGCCACACUGGGACUGAGACACGGCCCAGACUCCUACGGGAGGCAGCAGUAGGGAAUUUUGGACAAUGGGCGAAAGCCUGAUCCAGCAAUGCCGCGUGUGUGAAGAAGGCCUUCGGGUUGUAAAGCACUUUUGUCCGGAAAGAAAUGGCUCUGGUUAAUACCUGGGGUCGAUGACGGUACCGGAAGAAUAAGGACCGGCUAACUACGUGCCAGCAGCCGCGGUAAUACGUAGGGUCCAAGCGUUAAUCGGAAUUACUGGGCGUAAAGCGUGCGCAGGCGGUUGUGCAAGACCGAUGUGAAAUCCCCGAGCUUAACUUGGGAAUUGCAUUGGUGACUGCACGGCUAGAGUGUGUCA